rnacentral:rRNA from 1 species
GACGAACGCUGGCGGCGUGCUUAACACAUGCAAGUCGAACGGAAAGGCCCUGCUUUUGUGGGGUGCUCGAGUGGCGCACGGGUGAGUAACACGUGAGUAACCUGCCCUUGACUUUGGGAUAACUUCAGGAAACUGGGGCUAAUACCGGAUAGGAGCUCCUGCUGCAUGGUGGGGGUUGGAAAGUUUCGGCGGUUGGGGAUGGACUCGCGGCUUAUCAGCUUGUUGGUGGGGUGGUGGCUUACCAAGGCUUUGACGGGUAGCCGGCCUGAGAGGGUGACCGGCCACAUUGGGACUGAGAUACGGCCCAGACUCCUACGGGAGGCAGCAGUGGGGAAUAUUGCACAAUGGGCGGAAGCCUGAUGCAGCAACGCCGCGUGCGGGAUGACGGCCUUCGGGUUGUAAACCGCUUUCGCCUGUGACGAAGCGUGAGUGACGGUAAUGGGUAAAGAAGCACCGGCUAACUACGUG